CAGCACCCCCGCCCCCAACCCGGUCUCCAGCCGGGCCGGAGGGGGGCGGGAGCAGGCGCGGGUGGGAUGCGAACCGCCAAUGGGAGCCCCGAGAGACGCCCGGGAGGUGCGCGCUGCGGCCGGCCGGCCGGCCCGCCGAGGGAAGUGCAGCCAAUGGGCGCGCGCCCCACAUCCCGGGUUCAGGAGCGCCCCCACCCUGGCUGCUGACGUUCGGGCGGGUGGCGCCCAGGGCCACGCCCGGCUGUCGGUCGCGCCGGAGGGGCACCCGCUCGAAAGGUGGGAAGGAUACGGCCAGGCCAGCGCGGGAGAGCCCGGGGCAGCCAUUGUGGCGUGCUCCGUACCGCCUACGUGGGGCCCGGAGCGCCUUUUGGUGGGGCUGGUUCAGUAUUGGUCAAGAUGGCAAAAAAGAUGAACACAAUAAAAUAUAAGUGCUAUGAGAAGAGUCAAAAGAAUGUUCUGUGGGAACACUGAGGAUCAGCUGCCUAGAGGAGUCAAGAAAAGUUUCACAGACGAGGAUUCAGCUGCUCCUAUACUAAGGGGAAUGGAGUUACCACGCUUGGGCUGGAAGCAGACGGGGAGCGAAGAGCGCAUCACCAUGACUACUGCACCAACACACCACGCUGCAUCUCCAGACAAUGUCAGUUUUGGUCCUGAAGACUUGCUCUGGUUCCUGACCAGACGCUCUUGUUUAGUAUUCUUGGCCAGGACUCCUUGGACUGAGAGAGGGCGAUACCAGGCCAACAAGGCAUUACAUCUAAAGAAUGAGCUCAGCUAUAAUCCAGGUAUGGGGUUUUAAAAGGGAAACUUUUGAGGGCCCCAUCGGUGAGGCCACAGCCACCAGGCAGUGAACAGGGACCAAGUCCCUAGGAGGAGGGCACUGGCAAGAGUAAGGCAGUUUAGCAAUUUAAGUUGAAAUUCACAGAGAAGUAAACAUCAUGACUCAGGCAGCAUCGAUACUAAUCACUGGGUUCCCUAUCAUCUUCUGAGAACCUGAGAGCAGCCUAAGGGCAUGAUAACACAUUGAACUCCUGGGCUGGGAAGAUAAAUGUUACCAAACUUCAUCAGAUAUUUGGAUUGAAAAUUAUUUCAUAAUCCUAUAAUCUUAUAAAGUUUGAGAACCACAAUAGGGCAGACUUAGAUGCAAGAGCCAUCAGUGGAAAGACAGGGGAGGACAAAGACAGAGAGAACCAACAAGAUCUCCCUACUGGGAAGUGGAAGACAAAUGACCUUCCUUUUAUAUUAUGUAAGGCCCUAGAAUUUUGGAUAAUCAAGGAAAAUAGGAAGCCUAAGAGGGAGAUAAGGAAUCUUCUAUUGCUCUAGUGGAUGGGGGCACUAGUAAUUUAUUGAAAAAAGGAAUGAGCUGUCACAGUAUUUAUAUCCUGAUUUUGCGGAGUGGAAUAUACUGGUUGUGCGUAUAAUGGAGUACCGUGCAGCUGAUAAAAAUGAUACAAAUACACAUUUAUACAUUUACUUCAUGGAAAGAUGUCCACAACAUAUUGUUGAGGGAAAAAAGCAAGUUAUAAAAUGUCAUGUAUGUAUGAUCUCAUGUAUGUAAAAUAUUUCACAAAGAUCAAUAACAAGUAUGCCCUGUUCAUUUACUAUAAAAUAAAGUUAUACUUCUUCUAUUGUUCAAAUGAUAAUAGCUUCAAUUCUGUUCUUCUCAUUUUAGCAGCAAAUUGUUUUCUUUCUUGGGUCUCCUGCCCCAAGAUUCCUCAAUGACAUUCCUCAAUGUCACUUUUCACAGAACCAACUUUUACUUUUGCUGAUUUUUUUCCUACUGUGUUUCAUUCUGUAUUUUGUUUAUCUCUGCUUUGGUCUUUAUUAUUUUCUUCUUUCUAGCUUUGGGUUCAGCUUGCUUGAAGGUGCAAAGGUAGAUUAUUCCUUAAAUGACAAGACUCU